rnacentral:rRNA from 1 species
GACGAACGCUGGCGGCGUGCUUAACACAUGCAGGUCGAACGGUAAGGCCCUUCGGGGUACACGAGUGGCGAAAGGGUGAGUAACACGUGGGUGAUCUGCCCUGCACUUCGGGAUAAGCCUGGGAAACUGGGACUAAUACCGGAUAGGACCACUGCAUGCAGGGGUGGUGGUGGAAAGCUUUUGCGUUUUGGGAUGGGCUCGCGGGCUAUCAGCUUGUUGGUGGGGUGAUCGCCUACCUAGGCGACGACGGGUAGCUGGAUUGAGAGAUGGACCAGCCAGAAUGGGACUGAGAACGUCCCAUACUCCUACGGGAUGCAGCAGUUAGGAAUCUUCCACAAUGGGCGAAAGCCUGAUGGAGCGACACCGCGUGAAGGAUGAAGCCCUUACGGGUGUAAACUUCUGUUCUGAGGGACGAAAUUUUUGACGGUACCUCAGGAGAAAGCACCGGCUAAUUCUGUGCCAUCCGCCGCGGUAA